AGAGUUUGAUCCUGGCUCAGGAUGAACGCUAGCUACAGGCUUAACACAUGCAAGUCGAGGGGCAGCAUCAUCAAAGCUUGCUUUGAUGGAUGGCGACCGGCGCACGGGUGAGUAACACGUAUCCAACCUGCCGACAACACUGGGAUAGCCUUUCGAAAGAAAGAUUAAUACCGGAUGGCAUAGUUUUCCCGCAUGGGAUAAUUAUUAAAGAAUUUCGGUUGUCGAUGGGGAUGCGUUCCAUUAGGCAGUUGGCGGGGUAACGGCCCACCAAACCAACGAUGGAUAGGGGUUCUGAGAGGAAGGUCCCCCACAUUGGAACUGAGACACGGUCCAAACUCCUACGGGAGGCAGCAGUGAGGAAUAUUGGUCAAUGGACGAGAGUCUGAACCAGCCAAGUAGCGUGAAGGAUGACUGCCCUAUGGGUUGUAAACUUCUUUUAUACGGGAAUAAAGUUAGCCACGUGUGGCUUUUUGUAUGUACCGUAUGAAUAAGGAUCGGCUAACUCCGUGCCAGCAGCCGCGGUAAUACGGAGGAUCCGAGCGUUAUCCGGAUUUAUUGGGUUUAAAGGGAGCGUAGGCGGGUUGUUAAGUCAGUUGUGAAAGUUUGCGGCUCAACCGUAAAAUUGCAGUUGAUACUGGCGACCUUGAGUGCAACAGAGGUAGGCGGAAUUCGUGGUGUAGCGGUGAAAUGCUUAGAUAUCACGAAGAACUCCGAUUGCGAAGGCAGCUUACUGGAUUGUAACUGACGCUGAUGCUCGAAAGUGUGGGUAUCAAACAGGAUUAGAUACCCUGGUAGUCCACACAGUAAACGAUGAAUACUCGCUGUUGGCGAUAUACAGUCAGCGGCCAAGCGAAAGCAUUAAGUAUUCCACCUGGGGAGUACGCCGGCAACGGUGAAACUCAAAGGAAUUGACGGGGGCCCGCACAAGCGGAGGAACAUGUGGUUUAAUUCGAUGAUACGCGAGGAACCUUACCCGGGCUUAAAUUGCAACUGACUGAACCGGAAACGGUUCUUUCUUCGGACAGUUGUGAAGGUGCUGCAUGGUUGUCGUCAGCUCGUGCCGUGAGGUGUCGGCUUAAGUGCCAUAACGAGCGCAACCCUUAUCGAUAGUUACUAGCAGGUCAUGCUGAGGACUCUAUUGAGACUGCCGUCGUAAGAUGUGAGGAAGGUGGGGAUGACGUCAAAUCAGCACGGCCCUUACGUCCGGGGCUACACACGUGUUACAGUGGGGGGUACAGAAGGCAGCUACACGGCGACGUGGUGCUAAUCCCGAAAGCCUCUCUCAGUUCGGAUUGGAGUCUGCAACCCGACUCCAUGAAGCUGGAUUCGCUAGUAAUCGCGCAUCAGCCACGGCGCGGUGAAUACGUUCCCGGGCCUUGCACUCACCGCCCGUCAAG
rnacentral:rRNA from 1 species